AGAGUUUGAUCCUGGCUCAGAACGAACGCUGGCGGCGUGCCUAACACAUGCAAGUCGAACGCGAAAGGGGGCAACCCCCGGUAGCGUGGCAGACGGGUGAGUAACACGUGGGUAACCUACCCGGAGGUGGGGGAUAACCCUUCGAAAGGAGGGCUAAUACCGCAUGAUACCGCGGAGACUUCGGUCCUUGCGAUCAAAGCUGGCCUCUGUUUACAAGCUAGCGCCACCGGAUGGGCCCGCGCCCCAUUAGCUAGUUGGUGAGGUAACGGCUCACCAAGGCGACGAUGGGUAGCCGGCCUGAGAGGGCGAUCGGCCACACUGGAACUGCGACACGGUCCAGACUCCUACGGGAGGCAGCAGUGAGGAAUCUUGCGCAAUGGGCGAAAGCCUGACGCAGCGACGCCGCGUGGAGGAUGAAGGUCUUCGGAUUGUAAACUCCUGUCGAGCGGGACGAAUGCCAUGAGGGUGAACAAUCCUCGUGGUUGACGGUACCGCUGGAGGAAGCCCCGGCUAACUCCGUGCCAGCAGCCGCGGUAAUAC
rnacentral:rRNA from 1 species